CCUUAGAUUUCUCACAUCAGUGCCUGAUAAUGUCUUUGUCUAUGCAAACCUUUGCUUUUCUCUUCAUCGGUUUUUAUUGUCAGACGAGCGCUGUCACAUUUCAACAAUCUGAUCCCCAGAUAGUGAAUGAGGGCGCUGAGAUCCAGAUAAACUGCAGCCAUGAUGAUACUAGUCGUCCAGUAAUGCUCUGGUAUCAGCAGAGAGAGGACAGUCUGUCUAUGACCCUCAUUGGGUAUGGAUAUGAGAGCUCCCCAACUUACGAGGGUCAGUUUGAAGAACAAUUCAAGCUGACAAGAGACGGUUCAACGAAAGGAACUCUGAUUAUACAGAAAGCAACCCUGUCACACUCGGCUGUGUAUUUCUGCGCUGCCAGUACACAUAAUAAUCGCGAAGCCUAUUUCGGCCAGGGAACUAAACUGACUGUUCUGGAACCAGACCUUAAAAUCACCAAACCAACAGUGAAAGUGCUUCCACCUUCAGAAAAGGAGUGUCAAAAGCAGAAAGACGAUUCGAGGAAGAAGACCAUCGUUUGUGUGGCCAGUGGAUUCUACCCAGACCAUGUCAGUGUUGAAUGGAAGGUCAACGGGAUUAAUAAAACCAACGGUGUAUGCGAUAAAUGCGCCGCCCUGCGGAAGGCGACAAGUUUUACAGAAUCACCAGCAGGCUGAGUGUCUCUGUAGAAGACUGGUUCACACCCGGCAAAAGUUUCACCUGCAUCGUCAAGUUCUUCGAUGGAACAGCAACAACCAGUCAUGAAGAUACAGUUGUGGGUGUUCAAGGUAAAGGUGAAGGCGCCAUGACAAGAGAGUAUUAUCUGAAGAUCUCACAGACGGCCAAACUCUCCUACGCUCUUCUAAUCGUCAAGAGCAGCCUCUAUGGAGCCUUUGUGGCCUUUCUGGUGUGGAAGCUUCAGCGUCCAACUGGAAAACGGAGCAACUGAGAGCUGAGGCCUGAACAAAUGAAAUCUACGGGGAACAGUGUUGAAUCCUGUAAAUAAAAAUGUUUAAAAAUUUUUUUUCGAUUGGAUUGUGUGGAUGUGCAUUUGUAUUGUGCUAAACUAGAUUGAGAGCUCUAUGAAUAUUCUUGUUGUAAUCUCAAAGCUACUGUAUAUCUGGCAGGCAAAUACUUUGGAAUCAUAUUUUUAGACAUGCUUAAUUCUGUGUGCUUGGGAAUAAUUUGAUUCAUUUUUUUACUCUUAAUAAAAGCAUUUCAGAGAAUCUCA